ACCCAGCUCACGAGUCCCAAACAGGACGAAACGCGCGUCCUGGAU
rfam:Schistosoma rodhaini strain Burundi genome assembly, scaffold: SROB_scaffold0007371